GCUUGGGUGUUCCCCCACACUCAAGCUUAGAGUGUUCACCAUCUUUUCAGCCAUAAAAAUAUGAGUGGCACCAAUGUCCACCAUUGUUGAAAUCUGAUGUCUAUUGACUUCUAUAGACUUGAAUAUUAGUUUAUGAUGAAUUUUGACCUUCAUCACAUGAAUCGCAUCAAGUAAUUAUAAUGGUACAACUCUUUGUAGACC
rnacentral:lncRNA from 1 species